GAGGAGGAGAGGAGGGCCGGGGCCGAGCGAGGCGGCGGUGGUGCUGGGUCAUGUUUGUGUUGGAGGCUGUCAGGGGAAGGAGGCUGCCGCCCGCCCCCCCACGCGCCGCCAUCGCCCGCCGCCGCCACGGCCCCUCCGCCAGCAUAUGGAUUAACUGACCCCUCCGACAAGUUUAUGGAGCUGCCACAUCUCCGCCUGCUGUACGUUUCAUUUCUGGGAGGAGAAAGCAGUGUACGAGAUUAGAGGAAAAUGCCUCGGACGAAGCAGAUACAUCCCAGAAAUCUCAGAGUCGCUCAGCUUUUACUGCCUCUAUUAUAGAAGUUUUCAUCCAUUUAUCUCUCUCCACAACAAACAGAGGUUUCGAAUACAUCAAGAUGGGUUAAAUGUUGAGAAGAGAAACAAGGGUGUAGAACGAGCCCAUUCUACACAACGACACCUUUUAUUAACAGUUAGAAACCUGUGUUGAGACUACCCGGUUUCUGCAAACUUCAACAUGUUGUCAGCAUACAUUGCUACUAAAUGGGUUAUUAGAGGUGAAGUGAUUUGAAAAAUCAGUUUACUUCUCAUUAGUUAUGCCCUAUUUCCAUUUUUAGUCCAGAUAAUGAGGAAAAGCUGGAUUUCAGUUUCUUUAGUCUUUUUACUUGUUUCUGAGAAUAUAGCAGAAGAUGUUUGCUGAACACAUGAGGUAUUGGUGGAAUUGGUAUUGAUGGAAUUAGGAGAGACUGAAGGUUUUGUAUUUCUCUUCUCUUUUUUUGUGUAUGGAAAGUUGGACCAGCUUCAAAUUGAGAGUUUUAACUAUUAAAAAAGAAAACCCAAACAAAUGUGUUCUGUGUCUGUGGUGUUGAAUUCGUGGCUAUUGGUACAGAUAAUAACUAGAUAUGUAAAAAGAAUGCGUGGCUGUGAUCUAAGAUGAAAUAAAGAUGUAUUAUUAAGUGGCUUUUGUUCUGAGGAUAAAAGGUAUGUUUACAUUAUCUAAACUUAAUGAUUACCACCUGUACUAUGUGCUAAGAAUGCCCCAUGCCCCCACCUGGCUUCUUUCUUCCUUGUCUCAACCCCUCCGGUUGCCCCAUAGCCAUUGAAUGGCCAGCGGCUUAACUGGCCUGGGGUCCAUCAAUGUUUAACUUUAGAGAGAGCACUGUCUAACAACCCUUGGCUGCUCUGUUGUGCAUUGGAUGAGUUGCUGCAAUUGCACUUGCUUUCCAAGUCAGCCUGAAGAAUAAACAACCAAGUCCAAGAACCUAAAAUAUGUAUACAAAUUCUGAAGCAAAAGAAAACCAAAGCAACCAAACCCAUAACUUCACUUCUCCCCCCUUCCUCCCCCCCCCAAAAAAAAGUUAAUUUGUGGCUUUCUGCAGCAUAGAAAUAAGUUCUGAAGGUUUUCAUGUUGCCUUUGUUUACUGUAAGUAAUGUUAUUGUCUGGGGAAAAUGAAAUAGCAUUGUUUAAUAGAUAGAGCUAAAUUUAAGGUUUUGGCAAGAAAUGUGAAGGCUCUUCUUUUUUUUUUUUUGACAUGGCUUUAUUUUACUUCUUUUGUAUGCUUUUGGUAGGCUCUGUAAAGAUCAAAUUUGUUUGCUUAUUUGAGUGUGUUUGGUUUUUGUUUAGGAGUGUGAUGAGGUCCUGUACCCUCUUCCUCUGUCUUGGUUUCCACCUUUUGUUUAUAGAGGAAUCACUAUAUAGUACCAUACUAACCUGAUUUUUACAGCAGGAAAGAACCUGUGUCAAAAGGGCAGGAUAUGGGAAGCAUUGUUUUGCAAAUAAAAUGUAUUUAUCCAUAUAUAUGUGUAUAUAUAUAUAAAACCAAUUUUAUAUAUCCCUAUAUGUAUAAAACCAAUAGAAUAAGUCAGCCGUUUGUUUUCAUGAUUAUGUGCUAGUGACAUGGUUUUAAUGCUCGGCUGCAGCUGAAUGAGCAUGUUAUAUCUGAUGCCUUAUGUCAGUAAGGCAUCAGCUAUGCUAUGCUUGUUUCGUUAUUCUGUUUUGUCGCAUCAGUCUUCCCUUUGCUUCUCAGUGCAAAUAGGUCCUUAGGUUUGAAAGCAUCAGCAUUAGCAGGGGACUGCUUUGGUGAGGAAUCACGCGUAGUAUCAGACUUAAGGUGAAAAAAUAAAAGCAAAAGUCAAAAUAAAACAACCAAACACUAACUAGAUAUGAGUUACCGGUCAGCUACACAGCCAGAAUGGAUUUCAUAAGCAGGCAUUCCUGAUGUUGUCUUAGCCCCUUGGACGUCUUGGCCAUUUAUCGUGUUGCUAACGAAAGUGUUGUCAUCCUCCAGAAAAUGAGUGUGCUGUCAAAGAGGAAAACGUCUGUCUUGCUCAGGAGGUGGGCUGGGAACAGUGGGAUUAUUGCAGUCUUUACUGCUUACAAGACAUCCAGAGCAUUGUCUGUCUUAGAAUUAACCUUGUGUGUCGUGUUUUAGGCAGGUGGUAGAAGACUGCUUUGCGUGCAGUCACACUAUAUAUUUACAUGACCAAUUGAUACAUGGAUGGAGCAAACAUUUCACAGAAGCAGAAAUGUAUUCCCGGAGGUACAUCUACAUUAGAGAAUCAUGCUUUUAGCAGUACAGAGUGAGCUUGGUUUGUUGUCAGACGGUUGUGAGGAUAUAGGAGGAAAAACAGCUCAUGUUUUUGUUCACUUUGGUGUACCCAAUUGCAGAGAUUAGACUGAGAAGUUAUUUAUUCUUUGUACACUGUUUAGCAGAGCUGUAAUGCUCAGAUAUGAAACUGUUGCAAAUAUUUUGAACUCCUUCUUUUUCUUAGAUAAGCUUUUUAUUUUUCAAAUACAAAUUCUUGCUGUUUCUGGUUUUCCUUCUCAGUCAAAUAUUUCCAUUUGAAACAAAUGGUGGAUGGGCUCAUAAACUUCAAGGACUGUGUCUAAAUAUUUUUAACGCUUUGUGUUUGUUAAGGAAGUGCAGGUAUAAUACAAAUAUUUCUGUUCAAUAGCCUGAUAGCUAAAGUUGCUGGGAAGCCAGUUAUGUUCUGUGUCUGAUUUCUAGGAGAGUGAGGUGUCUGCUAUGUCUUAAGUGUAAUUUAGUGAAGGCUCUUAAAGUUGGUUCAAAAUUAUAAUGUGUUUCAAUAUUGAAAUAAGCCUGUUGACAUUGGAAGCUGACCUGUUAAUAUUUCGUAUUAGUCCUUAGUCUUGUAGUCUGUAAGACUUGAGAACAGACUGUUGUGCUGUGCUGUAACUCAUGAUUUGCAUUAAAAAAAGAAAAAAAGAACAGGUUUUAUAGUAGUUGCAUCUUUAACUUGCGCCUGGUCUACGUAAAAGGAAUCUGCAGGCAUAACACUUGACUUUCAGGUCAUAGUACUGUUUCUGAUAUAAAAAUAAUGCACAGUGUUAUGGAAGCAAUGAGGUGCUGUUGAGGCAGUGCUGGUACAUCAGAGGUGAUAGUAGUCUGCACUUUGUGGUGUGCCUGUGGGCAUUUGCUGUAGGAAAAGCUCAAACAUGCAUCUUGCUAAAAUUUCUGGAUCAUAUGUGACACAGGUGGAACAAGAAGUCAGAGCCUUGCCUUGGUGAUUCCGUUAUAAAAAUAUGCAUUGAUUUGGUAGCAAGUGUUGUUUCUGUGUACUGGAUUGUUUCUAUUAAUAGUACUUCAAACUAAAAUCUCCCUCAUAAAGAUAGGAGGAUCACCUGGUUCUGUAGGUAUCAGCCGGCUGGCCAGGCCUGCCUGCCAUGCAGUGUGUAGUCUGUAUUUCCUGUAGACGAUGGCAGUAUUCUCCCUGUGCCUCGUGUUCUUCACCCUGGAUGUGGAGUGAUAGAAUUUCUCUCGCUCUUGUUUUUGGUUUUGUUUUAUAUAUUUAAGGUGAUUCUUGUCUGCAGCCAUUAUUGUUGUUAUUUAUUGUAAUGUGAAUAAUACGUAUGUUUUUACAUUUGAAAAACUAAGAUACUAUGCAAUGUAAGAAAGGAUAAAUUUAAAGCUCUUGUUUGUCAUUCUUUACCUGGUAUUCAUCCCCAAACUUCAUUGUGUAAGCAUUUUUUGACAGGGUCUGAUCCAGUUCAUUGCUCAGGAUGGCUGGGCCCCCCUUCUGUCAGUGGCCACAGGUGAUGGUCAAAUGUCUGCUGAGAGCUGAUUGCAACAGAGGAAAGGCUGGGAGGAUGGAUAAGAUUGCACUGCCUCGAGAGCUGCAUUUUGUUCUUGCCUCUGCCUCCAAGCUUCAAGUGUGAGGUUGAGUGAUUCUGUUAAAAACCAAGCUUCCGCAGCCAACUGCUAAUUGUGUUCCAUGUUUUGCCAAAGCUGAGAUGCCACGGCACAGAUUCUCAGUUCUUGUAACUGCAGUUUGUGUUUUACGUUCAAAUUGUCGCCGUGAACACCCUAAAAAAUGAAUUAAUUCAGUUGGGGCCUAGGCAACUCAAGUUGAAGACUCAAGAUUAGCCAACACUUCUGGUACAUCUCUUAAUCUCUGUUUCCUACCUUCAAAUUGGAGAUGCAUCAGUUUCUAAGGGCCUAGAGGAUAAGGUUGUUAUUAUUGUGCCUAAACAGUGGAAAAGAUGGAGAAACUGCUAGUCUUGUGUUAGGGGUGUGCUGCAAGCAAGGCCUGGAGCCAAGCUGGCUUCCGUUGGGUAAGCAAAUUUACUUUUGUUACUCUCUGACUUCAGUGCUCUUUUUCACCAUCUUAACGUUUCAGAUAUAUUCUUAAAUGUUACUUCCUAGCUGUCAAAAUAGCAAACUUGAAAAAGGAAAAAAAAAACAACCCAAGAUAUUCUGUUGUAUUGAAUCCCAUCUGAGUCAGUGCCAUGCUGGGACCCUGUGAGGUUGGUCAGGCCUUCAGCAUGUAGGCUUUGCCCUCAUGGAACAUGGUUAUGAGGAUGGAGGAGGAAGCCUCCCACCUGAGUGAGCUUUUUGGCAGUUGGUGCUGGUGUUGAGAGCUGCUAGGGCCUUUGGAGAGAAUAAAGCUUAUGGGUUUUAAAUGUUUGUACCAUUUUCUGCAAUAGCCCAUUUCAAGUGCUUGGCAUAAUGUCCCUGAGAAAGCCCCUGGGUGCAGGGAGAGCGUUUAGAGAGGAACAACUUUAAGGUCAUAGCUUCCCAAGUGGUUCUGAGGUUGCUUUAGCUGUUCUAACACUGAAGGCAGGGAGUGAUUUUUAGGCUGAAUCAGUCUCCCUCCAGUCCCACACACCCCACUGCUGCAGGAGUGUGUCCAGGGAGAGACAGCGCAGAGGCAGCCAUAGCUAAAACCCUCCUGGCUCCACUUUGCUUGGGUUUACAAGCAUUUGUGCUGGUCUAAGAGUGGGGAAUGGGAAAAAAGAAGGUGCCUGAUGCAGGUAGAGUUACUGAAUUGUCUUUUUUCUAAGCCUUUUUUCUAAGCUGGAGCACAAGCUCUGGCGUGUUCAGAGGGUUUUGGGAAAAAAACAUGUAAUGCAGCUGUGAAAAGAGUAAGAUUUCCAUAGCUGUUCUUUCACAUGUUUCUAUUAGAGCAGGCAUUUUGCUUUGGGAUGAAACUGUGUUUUUUCGGUUCUCUGAAACAAUGACAUUUUGUGAGAGACGAGUUUUCUUGUGAGCAUUUAGAACAAUAGAACUUCUAAACAGAAAUCCUUGCCAACCUAUAUAAUCCUCACAACUUAGACUAGAUGUUGGUUUGCUGUGCAUGUGUAUGUAGCGUAAAUGUUUUAACGUCCUGUGUAGGCAGUGAACUUGCCCACACAAACAACAAUGUAAUAGCUGCUUUCAGGAUGUCACCUUUAGAAAAUAGCAGGUAGAUAACAAGAUCCUGGAUAGGCUGGAAGAGUUCAGUUAUCAGAGACUCCUCAUGGUUUUAUGGUUGCUGACGCCCUGAAUUAUCUGUUACAAAAGAGGACAGACAGGCUUAUGGUCUCAUAUUUUCUCAAAUUAACUUUUUCUUGCUCUAAAAAUGUGCAGGUUUUCACUUGCAUCUGUAUUUUCAAAGUCUGUAUACAUCAGUGUCCCAGACUGUGUAGUUGUGUGCUGCUUUAUUGCGGAUCUCCCCGUAGUCUGACUUGUAAAGAAUAGUCCUCUGGUUUUGGGCUUCCAUUCUGUUUGUGUUUGAAUAGUGAAACUGUUCCCUUUUGGUGCAGAAGGCACAUUGCUUGAAUUUCUUGUGAUCAGACAAUUUGAUUUCAAGUUGCAAACUGCUCUAAAUAUUUAUGCCAGGAAACAUAAAUGAGACUUUCCAGAGCUGCACGUUUUUGAGGAGCUAGUUAUACAAGUAUGUGCUUCCUAGGCUUGUUCAUUCUUUGGUAUGUCAGCCUUCUGUAGCAAGAAUUAUAGCUCAGUGAUGGCUUUGGAGAUUCUGAAGAGGGAAACUAAGGUUUAUUGCUCAGUUGGAAGAGUAAGACUUUCCUUUCUGUAUUAAAGGAGAUGAAUCAGCUGGACUUUACAUUUCCAAGUUGUGCAAGGUGCAGUGUUCCCCUCCACUUGUUAAGCGUACCAUAACUCAGGAUAUUUACAUUAAGAAGGUGGAGAGGGGGGAGAAAAAGGUGCAGCAGAUGUUUGGAGCCUUCUGUGACGCAUUCAUGGAGGGAGUGGGGAAGCUCUCGUAUAGUAAGGCUGGGCAGGACUGUUUGUUACUGUAUAAUAACUUUUAAAAUGUCUGUAAAGUUUGUCUCAGAAUGAGACAGCUCAGGGAAUGUGCUGACAUAGAAUUUCCCUUAUGACCUCUGGUGACUGAAAAAGAAAUGGCUUUGUAAUGACCCACAGGUGUGAACAGCGGAAGACUGGAGCUGAGAAAGUCCGUGUGUGUGUGUAGCUUCAGUCUUUGACUUCAGAUUUUGUCUGUACUUGUAAUCACAUCUGGUUUGUAUAAUAAACCAUACUUAACAUCUUUGGUUGACAGCUGAAGCCAUGAGUAGAGAAUGUGGACCGUGAACUCGUACAUUAAAACAUCCCGUGAACUGUUUCUCCCCAGAUUCCUGUGUGUUUAGAAGAUAAGUUUUGCUGAGUCCCCUUUGCAAAUCCUUCUCUUGGGCUAAAACUACAAAAAGUUUGGAAAGAGGUGCGGAGAGGAAAAAGUGGUAGUUGAGCAGGAUCCUGUGGUCUAACGUAGCUACAAAACAACUGUGUAUGUGUUCCUAGUUACCUAUGAAAUAUGUGGCUCGAGCUCUGCCAAGCAGUGAUAGUCAUGGAAUAUCCAGAGCAUGCCACAUGAUUUCCUCUGAUAUUUUUUUUUUGACCUAAUUUUGGGGGUUAGGAAGUAGAAGUGAGCGUUGAACUAUAUUGUUUUUAACUACUUAGUGCUGUUAAAUCAGAUGGAAGAUCGAACACUUGCUCUUACCCUAAAGAUUGUAACGCAGUUGUGAUACCGAGCCAGGAAAAAGAAAAACGUGUAGAAAUGGCACAUAAAGUAUAGUUUCUCUGGUGGUUUUGCUAUUCCAUUACCUCUGUGGAAUCUCUAGCAUUUGUGUCUUUUGAAGAGGAGCACGAAUCUCAGAAAGUAGACGUACAGUUCUUACUCCCUCCAUCAGGAUUUCAUACAGCAAGAAGUGUUUGUAUUUCUGUCCCAGUGCUAUCAAGGAAACGCAGUGGUGUGUAUGUAGCGAUUGUGUUUAAAAUAUUUUACUCUAUAAUUUUUAUUAGUAAAAUACAUCCUAUGUCAAAAUGUUCCUAUAAUUCUCAGUUGUCAAGAGGCAGAGCUAAGUAUGCAUGUUGUGAUAGUUUAAUGCAUUGAAUCUUCAGAGAGAAUUGCCUCCUUCGGUAUAAGGACAAUGCUUUUGUGAGGCAGAUUAGGAACUGUGAAAAUACAGAACUUUAUUACAGGGAUGAUUUAAUAAUUUUCCAGUAAAUCUUUGUGCAGCGUACACAGUGAAUUUGUCUUGCACGCAUUUGUUGGUGUAUUCUUCUUCACGGUGCUGAUUUAUGGAACGUUUCAGUAAGCUUUCUUAUGGUGUUUUUCCUUAAACAAAACCCAAAAAAUAGAGAAAACAGAAAGUAUUUCUAGUCAGGCUGGCUCUGAAGCUCUCACAUCUAGAGGCUUCUCCUUUUCUGAAGCUUUCAGUUUCCUCAGUGCGCUAUUAACAUAUGCAGGAAGGCUCCCCAGGCAAACUCUGAAGUUGUGGGCUGGAGGAGGAAUCUCCCUCUGGGGGCCUUUGCCUGAGGGAUGCUGUCUGCCCAAGUGGGUGGGAGGGCACCUCAGGCAGAGCCGGGCAUGUCCCAGUGCUCCUGGGAGACUUUCACAGGCAGGAUAUGGCCAGGGCACAAACCAGAUUUUAACUUUUAAUGUUCUUCCAGUAUCUUAUGGCUGCCUUCUACUCUGAUUUUUUUCAAAAAUAAGUGAAUAGUAUAUUCUUUUUUAAGGCUAUCAGUUCAGCUUCUUAAUUUUUUUACUUGGCAACUUAUGAGUUUCUUUAUAUCCUUCUUUGUGCUUUUGUUUUUCCUUCUCAUACUCUGUUCUCCAUAACAAAUUCAGUGUCUACAGAUAAUGCUUUGUUGCUGUUAGGCUUCCUCGCAAUCAUGUGAAAGCUUUAAAAACAGGAAAACCAAACCGUCUUUUUAUUCCUCCUUUACUUUUCUUCCUAUUCUUAAAUUUCACAGGCCUUUUGAUAUUGCUGGCGUCUUACGCGUUCUGGUUUUCUUGCUGAUCAUAGUUGUAGAUAGAAAGAUGCUUGAGAGGAAGUGACCCUGAGUUUACGUGAUGAGGCUUUAAGACUUCAGUUAACCAGGUGUGUUCCUCAGGAACAACAUCACACAGCGCAGCGAGAAAGCAGAACAAUGAGUUCACUUAAUACAUGGUGUAUUAAGACAGUGAUGCUGGGCUUCUGUAGCUGGAUAUGGUAAUUUUAAAAAAAAAAAAAAGCUAUUUAAAAAUUCUUAGGAGCAGGGAGGAGUCUGAAAGUUAAUGUUCUUUUGGCAGAAGAAAAUGGCUCGACAAUCAUGUAGUGGUCAGUGUUUUCCUGAGCUUGAAGGUUUCUGGUUAACCACUUAAUUCUGUGAGGGCAUGCAGGACUUUAAAAUGCUUUAAAGUUCACCAAUGCAUGAAAGAAGGGCAGAGAAGUCUGCUUCGGAGCUAGUAGAAGGGGUUAAUGUUUGUGCACAGUUAUGUACUUGUUACCUGCAAGUUAAUUUAAACACUGCUUUUCAAGAAAAUGCUGACACAAAACUGGUCUCUUGAGCCAACAGGAUAACUGAUCAGCUUUUCCUCCAUGAAGCUCUGAAGAUAUACUUUCAGUGGCAGUAGCUAUGAUGAUGUCUUCCAGAAGAAACCUCAGUAAAUGGAAGGAAAGCUAGCAAUCAGUGCUGAUUAACAGAUCUGCAUUCAGUGACUUAAAUGUCUCCGAUUAGCCUGUUUGCUGCAUUUAAAUGUGCAAUUCUGUAUAAACAGAAUGUGGUGCUUGGGGAGCGGAGGGAGCCUCUUGAAUGCUGAAGACUGAAAAUGUGAGGUAGAAAGGUGCAGGAGAUGCACCUGCCCCCCAUAACAGUCAUUAGUACCUGUGGGACUGACAGUUUCAAUUAGCUGUGGGGGUGAUGGGUGUUUCCUAAUCAGAUAAGGCAUAAGAUAGUGCGUGUGUGGAGGUAGGAUGUUGUUAUUAGUGUUCGGUUUCUCUUUACUGCCAAAGAAAGUCAAGCAUGUACAAAACAUGGAGAUUUUCUGGAUUAUUUAAAUCUGCGUUUUCAUAGUUAUAUUUGCUUUAUAUGUGUAUAUAUAUAUAUAUUCUUUCUUGUGAAGGCACAGUUCUUUGGUACCAAAAUAUUGUAGCUUGCUUUGCUGACUUGCUCGUGUUGCUACUUUGGCCAAAAGCCUCAACUUUGCACGUACAUCUUUCUGGGUUACAGAUCCUGGCUUCAGGGAAGACAGACUGAUUGUGCGGAGGGUUGGCCUGCCACGUAAGCAGGCAGUAAGAAAUGAGCUUUGGGCGGCUCUGUGGCUUUAAGUAGUGGAUCUGACAAAAGCAUAUGGAAAAUUCAUGCAACAGGGAUACUGUAUCAAAACAAAUCCUGUGGAGAAGGAAACCCAGGGCUUUUUCCCUCACUUGUUCCCUUCUUGUUUUCUGUGUUGUUUGCUUCUCAUCUUCUGUAUCUUAAAUGAUCUAUUUUUUUUAAGGAUCAACAUAAUUUGCAAAUACUCAACAGUUCCUCAAAGAGUUUGAGGCAAAAUGGUUGAGCUUGGAAGGGAAAUGUUCAUGUGGAGAUAGCAUCAGGGAGGUGAGGCAUGCUGGGAAAUAAACAUGGUUUCCUUUCUGCUGACUAACUACCCAAUAAGAGAGAGCACAAUGUACUAACACAUCAGAAAGAGAAGUCCUGUGUGGAAUAAUCCUUUUAUUAUUUUUAUUUUGCGAAUGUUCUUUACUAGCAGAGUGGUUAGACCCUGGAACAGGCUGCCCAGGGAGGUUGUGGAUGCCCCGUCCUUGGAGGUGUUCAAGGCCAGGUUGGACGGGGCCCUGGGCAACCUGAUCUA